GGCUAUACUCAAAUCCAUCAUAUUACUCCUAUCUAUUGUGAUGUAUCUCAUUUAUGAGACACAACAACUAAAAAUUUUCAUAGCAAAGGGCUUAUAUGUACAAAAAGGUACAAGGAAGAGUGGUGAUGUUCUACGAUCUUGUAGGUAGAUGACAACCUGCUCAUUGGAUAUGAUGUGGAGAUAUUGUCAUCAGUCAAGAUCUAGUAGUCUACUCAAUGCUAAAUAAAAAUCUAAAGGAAUACGUAAUAUAUUCUUAGGGUUAAGGUCC
rnacentral:lncRNA from 1 species